rnacentral:piRNA from 1 species
CAAGGACUUAGUUUGGCAGUUGGGAG